GCGCUCUCCGACCUGGGUUGCAAUGGCAACUGACUGGAUGAAACAUCAACAGCAACUUUUGUCCUAUUUUUUAAGGAAUUAACGAGAUUUUACACUGAUACCUUGAGGAAAUUAUUUCUAAUGUGAGAAACAAAGUUAUACAAUUUAAGGUCCGAAAAUGUUCCAGGGAUGUACAAUUUCUGUGGAAGAGAUCCAGUCUUGGUGGGAAGUCCCCGCCAUAGCUCAUUUCUGUUCGCUGUUCAGGACGGCAUUCAACCUACCAGACUUUGAAAUUGAGGAGCUGGAAGAGGCGCUACAGAAGCAGGACAUAGACUUUCUGGCUGACCUCCUCGUCUCACUGCUGCAAGGAUGCUACCAGCGCACAGACAUCACCCCCCAGGCAUUCAGCGAUUACCUGGACGACAUCAUCAACUACCGCUGGGAGUUGGAGGAGGGGAAGCCUAACCCGCUGCGCCAGGGGCCCUUUGAGGAGCUGGCCCCACGCACGCAGGUGGAACUGCUGCACAGGCUGUGUGACUACCGCCUGGACGCUGCCGACGUCUUCGACCUGCUCAAGGGCUUGGAUGCGGACAGCCUGCGCGUGGAGCCGUUGGGUCAAGAUGGGAACGGUACCCUCUACUGGUACUUCUAUGGUACCCGCAUGUACAAAGAGGACCCGGUCAAGAGGAAAGCAGAGCAGCUCCGUGAAGCCCUUGUGAUCAAACCAGCAGAGAAGAGGAAAAGAGGAAGACCACCAAAGAAGAAAGUGGAGGAGAUCCAGCUAAGUGAGGUGGAGAACGAAGUGAAGAAGGAGAAUGGACUGGAAGGUCUGCACUCAGGCACAGACCGUGAGCGUGGCGCCUGGUCCCUGGUGUGUGACACAGAGGAGCAGUGGGCUAGUCUGGCUGAGAGCAUCAAGGACAAAACGUCCCCCCAGGACCGCCACCUCUACCGCAUCAUCAGCCAGAACUUCCUCCCUGAGAUCAGCAGCAUGAUCGAGCUCAAGGAGAAUGAGCAGAAGCAGAGGCUGCUGGACCCCACCCCAGUACGCAGCUCUUACCGGCUCUCUGAGAAACGCAUGAGCCAAGAGGAGGAGGUGAAACCAGCUGACACGCUGCAAGCCAUAGCUGACGUGGAGCAGCAGAAACAGAGGGAUGUGGACAUGGACAGGCAGGCCCUGCUGGCAGAGCAGAAAAGAGAGGAGGAGAUGCUGCUUCAGGAGGAGCGUCAGAGAGAGGAGCAGGAGAGAGUCAAAGCUGUGGAGGAGCGAGCGCGGCGGCGGAAGCUGCGUGAGGAGAAGGCCUGGUUGAUAUCCCAGGGGAAAGACCUGCCCCCCGAACUGCUGCACCUGGAGCCCCACUCACCCAUCCAACGUGCCCGCAGGACGAAAGCGUUCUAUGAAAUUGAUGAUGAUUAUACAGCGUUGUACAAAGUGUUGGAGGCCCUGAAAGCCCACAAAGACUCCUGGCCUUUCUUGGAGCCUGUGGAUGAAUCCUAUGCCCCCAACUAUAAUGAGAUCAUUCAGACUCCGAUGGACCUGUCCACCAUCGAGAGGAAGCUGAAUGAAGGGGAGUACAUCGCCAAGGAGGAGUUUGUGUCUGACGUGAAGCUCAUGUUUGAGAAUUGCAUGGAGUACAAUGGGGAAGACAGUGAGUACAGCAUCAUGGCGGAGUCCCUGGAGCGCUGUUUCAGCCGAGCCCUGCUCAAGCACUUGCCGUCAGAGGACGGUGACACGGAUGAAGAGUUCCACGUGUGUGGUGAGGACCGUGAGAAAGACCGCAAGGAGAAGAGGCGGAGCAAAGGCCCCAAACAGACGGGGCCAGAGCGCUUGGGCCGAGCCACUGAGCAUGCAUCGCGCAAACGGACACAUCCAGGGGGCAAGGGCAGCACUGCCAUGGAGGAGGGGAACAAGGUGGCCCAGCCUCCCCCUCCCACCCACUGGGCCAACAGACACCCACACCCCCACAGCAUGCCACAUGGACAACCCCACCCUGGGAAUCUAUACCACCCAGCACAGCAGCAGCUCCAGCACCCCCCUGGUCCUCACAUGUAUAGUCAGAGGAUGGCCAUGGACCCCCGCUACGCCUACCCUCACCCUGGACAAGGACACAUGCCCCGGCCUGGAGACCCCAAUGCUCACCACAUGCCUCAACAUUACAACAUGCAGCCACACCUGGGGGAUGGUCACCACAUUGGCCCUAGAUACCAGGUGGGGCCUGAUGGCCGGCCUCUCCAUCCCCAGCACCACCAGCAGCAGCACCCCUACAUGGGUCCCACCCACGGCCCCUCACUGGGCCCCCGCCCUGUGGCCCUCCAGUCUGGGGGCCUCUGCACCCCCACGCCCGAAGGCAACAUGUACCCGUCCCGCCAGCGCACCGACGGCCACCCCAUGCACCCCGGUGGGAACCGUUACCCCGGGCCUGGCAUCCCACCACAACACAACUACCCUGCCUUUCGUCCUGGCAUGGGCGUGCCUCCUAGCAUGUGGUCAGGGAUGAACCACCAAGGCCAGCAGAGGCCCAGUGGACCUGGGAUGCAGGAGCAGAAUAUGGCUAACCACCAGCAGCACCCCUAUUUUCAUGGGGGUCCACGUCCCAUGUGCCCCAAACCCUGGCCAGAGCAGCCUGGUGGCCCUGGAGGGUACCCCCCACCCCCAAAUAGCCAGUACAGGAUGCCCUGUGGCAUCAGCACCUCCCCGGGGCCCAUGGCCCUGCGGCCUCCCAUGCCUCAUCAGGACUCACGGCAGCGUCUGGCCUCCAUGCUGGAGAGCCCAGAGAUGAUUGCCCUGCAGCAGCUGUCUGCUUCCUCCACCGGACUCCCUGCUGGCUCCUCACGCCAGCUCAUGGGCAACCUUCAGCAGCAGCCCCCACAGGGAGUUGGCAGCGCACCAACUCAAGCUCAGCCCUCGCAGCACCCACCUCCCCCUGAAAUUCACCUGCUGCGUCCUGCCAGAGACGAUGGCCCAGAUAGCCAGCCUGCCCAUCACGCAGACAUGCAGCCCAAAGAGUUCACAUCAGAUCACAAAACGACCAACAACAACCAGGCAGGAACGCGGAUAACCCUCGUCCAGUCUGAUCAGGAUCGUUCCACAGAGCCUCCCAGUCACCCCACUGGGGGCAUGCAGAGCCCCUCGGCUCCAAACUUGGGCAGAUCACAGGAGAGGGGUAGCGGGACCGGGGAGCAGGCUGCGUCUGGGCCGGGACACCCACAGAGCUCAGAGACAACCGGCAACCAGGAGGGGGAGAGAAGAGGACAGUCUGUCUGCCAGACUCCCACUCAACAGAACAACCCUUCCAUUGUUCCUCCUCCACACCCCCACAAUUCACCUCCCUCCCAGAACUCUCCGCACUCCCAGAAUGCUCCACAGCAUAUAACCCAGAUCCCCACUCGGCAAAUACCAGAGAAUGCCCCUCACCCUAGGAACGCCCAUCAACACAUGAUCCAGAAUGCACAGCAACAAAACAUCCUUCAACAUAUCAGUCAGAAAGCCCCACAGCAAGGAUCCCAAAACCCUCAGAACACACCUCCACAUGUGGCUCAGAAUCCCCUUCAACGUGGUCCACAGCCAAGCCCCAUGCAUGGAAUGCCAAAAUGCACCCCCCAGCCUGGCCUUGGUCCACCACAGCCAGCCCCUUUCACCUCCCUGCCCCCCAGCCACCCUGUGUCCCAGCUGCCUCCCCAGCCCAGCCCAGCUGACCAUGGAGACCAGAGGCCCAGCGAGCCCACUAGCAGAAGGGAUUCUGGAGGCAGCUCUGGUAACCCCAGCAUGAUGAAGUCUGGACCUCCCAACAGCAUCUAUAAACAACAGUCGUUCAGUCCCAAUGUGCAACAGACACAGUUGGGUAACCAGGGCAGUCUGGGGCCAAGGGGACCAGCACCUGGUCACAUCCCAGCCAUGCCUCCCCACUCUCCGGGCCAGGUUGCUGGAGCCAUGGGCAGCCCAACACAUCCACACUAUGGUCAACCUAUGGGCAGGCCCAUGCCCCCUUCAAAUCGGCAGCCUUACCCAAACCAAGCUAUGCCCCAGACCAUGAACCCAAACCAUAACCCUGCCGGCUACCCCACCUACCACCAGCAAGGAGCUUCCUAUCCAUACCACAUGGGUCAGCAGCAGCAUCUCCAGGGCCACACCAACAUGUACCCCCAGUACCAGCAGCAACACUUAUACCCCCAGCCCCAGGGCAACAGCCGGGGGGGCUACCCACCUGAGGAGUGGCAUAGGCAGCAGCAAUACCAGCCUCGCCACCCCAUGCCCUCCAACACCUACCUGCCUGCAGCCAGUGCCAAGGUCAAUGGGUGCCUGAAGGAGGGCAGCAGCAUGGGCUCCCCCCUGGCCUCUGAGGGCUCCGGGGUCAGCUUGAUGUCCCCAAGUCUCCUGCCCGAGGGCCUCCAUGGAGGCUCUGCGGGGAAGGAGAGCAGGGAGGCUGGUAGCCCAAUGAAGCCUCAGCAUGCUCGGGUGGAGGAGACCUCAGAGCGGGCAGAGAGCCCUAAAGAGAUCCUAGACCUGGACAGCCACAACGCUGCUGCACGCCGCUGGAGUUCCCAGCCCCUGCCUCAAGUGGCCAACUUCCUGUACGACCCCCGAGCGGUGCAUCCUGGGAUGCAGCAGGGUGGGGCCCCACCCCCCCACAUGAUUUCUCGGCCUCCAUACCCUAGCCAGCCUGGCUUUCCUAGUGGACACUACACUCCCCAAAGACCCCACCCUCACCUCAUGGAGGCCCUGCAGCGGCCCCAGCACCUGCCCUUUCACCCGGGACAGACCCGCAUGGCCAUUUACAGACACCCCCAGACUGAAGGCCACUUCCAAGGCAUGACGGUCCAGCAGAGAGGCCUGGGACCUGAACACUUCCUUCACCUAGGGCAGCAGAUGAUGUCUCCCAGUGGUCCCAGCAGUAAACAGGGAGUUUAAGCAACUCUGUGGAAGCAGGGCCUACUCAUCUUGUUGGCUGACAAAAAGUAAAUAUGGACAGUUCUUCCAACGGCUUCAAUAUGCUCCUUGGCAUUUGAUAAGAACACGUGCAGUUGCGUCCCCGAUGUGUGUCUUCACUUGUAGACUGUGAGAAGGACCUGGGAUGCUGUGAGAAGGACCCGAUCACGUGACGGGCAUUAUCUAAGAUUUCAGGUAAAGGACAAACGCAACAAAACCUUUACACAAAUUGGUGCCUGCAUAUCAUCCAUGACGACAACCUGUGUGCUUGCCUGUGUCUCUCCUGUCUUAAGACUUUAAAUGUGACUGCUGUCGGAACAAUGAUGUUCUCUGCUGCGGAGCGGUUCAAAAUGGACUUUGUCCUCUGUCUGUGUUCAAGGGCACCAGUAAGUAGGGCUCCCACUGCAUCAGACAGGAGAUGUGCAGAGUGAUACAGGCAAUGGAGACACAUUUAUUGGAGUCUCUUUAGGGAAUGAGUUCUUUGCCCCUGGGGAUGUCUUUCUGCUUUGUGUGGAACCCUCACUGAGACUGCCUCUGCAGAGACAUGGCCCUGUCUGUCUUCAUGCCUGUGGACUCCCAGUCAAGUUCAGACUGUAUAGCUGGUCCCUCCCUCUAGGCCUGGCCAGCAAGAACAUCUGGAGACCCUGUUUCUCUGUCUGCAGGCUGGUUGCCUGUGUAAACGCAGGCUUUAAGUGGUCUAUUGACAUGGUCUGAUUGUGGUGCUCUGUUUGACCUUUUUAAAUUAUUUUCUCACACACUGGAUUUGUCUGGAGAAGGCUCUCCCCCUUGUCUAUAACUCUCUAUGGACCUCCAGCCUGGUCUUCUCAGAGCCUCUCUAUGGACAAAAGGAGCUGGUGUGGUAAGAGGAGAGCACUGGUGUUACUUUGUGUUUUUUUUUCCGUUUUCGUCUCCAAAUGUUUUUAGACUCAGGUGUAGAAAAGGAGGUACUUUGAGACUGUAGAGAAGCCGUCAUCAGAACCCUGUCGACAGACACACACACACACACAUGCCUUGCAGUUGCCUUUGUUUCCUUCAUGUUGAAUGUAUGUGUGAAUAAGUUCGAUAUAUGUAGAUAGAUGAACAGCACAGGAGCCCCGCCAUGUGACGGGACAGAAGAUGAUGGCGGAUUGCCUUUCGGAAAAAAGGAAAUCGUUCUGAAAAGGAGAGCUUUCUGUCCAUUUUCACCUCGACUAAAACACAGCUUUUUUUGCUGUUCCGGUGUAAUUUUAUGCAUCCUUCAAGACUGCCUUCACUAUGAGAAUGUAUUUUAUUUCAGACCUGUAGAGAGCCUUCUCUGCUAUGCACUAGGGAUAGUCUACAACUACUGGAAUUUAGUGGCCUUGGAUUCUUUGUUGGUGCUUGUUACCAUGUAUAUAUGAAUAUAUAUUAAGUAUAACUCUUCACUGUAGGUGUCCUCUGUCACAAAAACUGGGGUCUUUUGUGGGUUGGUUCACCACACUUCCAUGUGCCCAGCUGGUUGGCAUAUGCACAUACACACAACGUGAACAAGAGUUAGAAACAACAAUUGAUGUAUUUGUUUUUCUAUAUUCAUGUUGUCACCCUUCCAGCCCAAUUAUUUUUUAUUUGUUUCAAUGUCAUGUAUUGCAUUCCAUACAUUUUGUUGAAAAAUGGUCAUCCUAUUGUAGCUCAUUUAUUUGUGGUGUUUAUUUUAUUUGGAACGGUAAAGAUUGCCCACAAUCACAACCAUACGUGAUUAUUUCUUUACGUUAGUGCUUCCUCCUCCCCAAUUCAAUGAACUUAAUAUGUCCUCAGGGUGUACAGUUCUAUACGGGUAUUUUAAUGAAUUAUUUGAAGAAGAAGCACCACAAGAAAACAUGACUGGAAUAGCGACAAGUUAAUUAACCUAAUUUUGUGACAACUGAUAAACCAAUAUUGUUUUUGCAAGAUUCUGUUAUUUUUGGUCCUCUUUGUGACAAUGGCGGUCUUGCUUACUGUCAACCCAUUUGAUUUCAUUUUGGGUUUUGUUUUUUCAUUUUAAUAUUGUAGCUUUUGUCAUUGCCACCAUGCAUCGGCGAGUGAUGCGUCUAUCAACAAUUUAUCUGUGUGAAUUGAACUCUUCCCCAUCUUAAAUCCAUGUUGCACCUGUGAACCCCACAGGUAUAGCGAUGACAACAAAUGAAUCUACCUCAUAGCCAGUCCUCUGGCAUCCACUAAGUCCCUCUACUCAGUCAUUCACUCACUCAGACCCCAGCACACACAUGGCCUUGUAUUACUUUGCUACAAAAGCUCAUGACUAUGUAUACUUUUCCCUUCCAUGAGACCUUUGAUUGUAAGGUUACUUGUGUCACUAGGGGGUGUGGUGAAUGAUUGGGCAUAUGUCUGAGGUCGACAGAAAAGGGCUCUUUUUAUAUAUGAUCUCGUCUUACCAGCUGUAUAGAUUGCAUGCCUUCCUGCCACAGGUGAGUCUAGACAACCUGAGCCCUGUGCUUCUAUUGAAUACGUGUUAGACAGCAUAGAGCUGGCAGCGUAGUCCCCUCAUUGAUAGACAUCUAUGGCAUUAAAGGAGGGAUGCAUAUAGGAUAAUACUAGCUGUGAGACAAAAUGUGUCCCACGAUUCUGUACAAGGAUGUAUUGCUGUUUUACUUACUAGGGAAUUUUCAUUUUUAGUAUUAGCUAGAUGAGGACUUCUCGGAGGUAGUGUGUUCACUUGCGCUGUCCAUGUAUGAAGGACAGUGUAGUUGUAAAUGGUCUGUGAGGUUGUGAUACUGUUAUGCAGCUUUGUUGUCUCUGAUUGUGUUGACUGCACAAGACAUGGAAGUCUGUAUGCCUCCACUCUGCUGUCAUCCAGUUUGUCUGCACUAGUAAAAUGUCUAGAUUGGAUUAAAUGUGAAUCAUAUUUAUUUGCUCUUUUACAUUUUGUACAUGUUUUAACUUGUUUUUAAUAUACAUGUGAUGUCUGGUUGUUUUAAGCAGUAGACAUUUACCUCCGUAGCAUGGCGGCAUCAAAAAGGCCCCUUUUGUUCCAGUUUUAUGUUCACAAGUUUUUAAGACAUAGAUUAUUUUGGAAAUAGACAACGUAUUUUCUAUACUGUACAUUUCUUAGAAUAAAUCACCUUUCCUGAUUUUAA